UGGGGAAUAUUGGACAAUGGGCGCAAGCCUGAUCCAGCCAUGCCGCGUGGAUGAUGAAGGCCCUAGGGUUGUAAAGUCCUUUCGACGGGGAAGAUAAUGACGGUACCCGUAGAAGAAGCCCCGGCUAACUUCGUGCCAGCAGCCGCGGUAAUACGAAGGGGGCUAGCGUUGCUCGGAAUCACUGGGCGUAAAGCGCACGUAGGCGGACUCUUAAGUCGGUGGUGAAAUCCUGGAGCUCAACUCCAGAACUGCCUUCGAUACUGAGAGUCUCGAGUCCGAGAGAGGUGAGUGGAACUGCGAGUGUAGAGGUGAAAUUCGUAGAUAUUCGCAAGAACACCAGUGGCGAAGGCGGCUCACUGGCUCGGUACUGACGCUGAGGUGCGAAAGCGUGGGGAGCAAACAGGAUUAGAUACCCCCGUAGUCCCUGAGCGGGCUGGCAAGGCGCAU
rnacentral:rRNA from 1 species